UUAAGAUACUAAGAGCAUACGGUGGAUGCCUUGGCGAUAUCUGCCGACGAAGGACGUGACAAGCUGCGAAAAGCUGCGGAGAGAUGCAAAUAAUCGGCGACCCGCAGACAUCCGAAUGGAGAAAUCCGGCUGUGAUGAUGCACAGCCAUCCAUGCCCAAGAGCAUGAGAAGGGAACCGGGCGAACUGAAACAUCUAAGUAACCCGAGGAAAAGAAAUCAAACGAGAUACCCCAAGUAGCGGCGAGCGAACAGGGAAGAAGCCCAAACCGGUGAAGGAAACUUUACCGGGGUUGAGGACCAUCAGACCCGCGAAGAACUUUAGCCGAAACUGUUGGGAAACAGUGCCGAAGACAGUGAAAGCCUGGUAGGCGAAAAAGAGAAACGCGGAGAUGGCACCAGAGUACCGCGGGACACGAGAAAUCCCGUGGGAAGCAGGGGGGACCACCCUCCAAGGCAAAACACAGAUAUCGACCGAUAGCGCAUAGUACCAUGAGGGAAAGGUGAAAAGCACCCCGGGAGGGGAAUGAAAGAGAACCUGAAACCGUAUGUUUACAAGCAGUCGGAGACCGCUUAAUAAUAAGGUCGACGGCGUGCCUAUUGAAGAAUGAACCGGCGAGUUACGAAGCCUGGCAAGGUUAAGCAGGAAAUGCGGAGCCGAAGCGAAAGCGAGUCUUAAGAGGGCGCAAGUCAGGAAGCGUAGACCCGAAACCACAGUGAUCUACCCAUGUCCAGGUUGAAACACAGGUAAAAAUGUGUGGAGGACCGAACCUAUAUCCGUUGAAAAGGGUUAGGAUGAGGUGUGGGUAGGGGUGAAAUUCCAAUCGAACGUGGAGAUAGCUGGUUCUCCCCGAAAUAGCUUUAGGGCUAGCCUCAGGGAAAAGAUUGCAGGCGGUAGAGCACUGAUCAGGAGAGGGACCUACCCGGUUACCAAACCCAGUCAAACUCCGAAUGGCUGCAAUCAUACCUGGGAGUCAGACUGCGACUAAUAAGGGCCGCAGUCAAAAGGGAAACAGCCCAGACCAUCAGCUAAGGUCCCCAAUGCCGUGCUAAGUGGCAAAGGAUGUGGCAUUUCAUAAACAACCAGGAUGUUGGCUCAGAAGCAGCCACCAUUUAAAGAGUGCGUAAUAGCUCACUGGUCGAGAGACGCUGCGCCGAAAAUGUCCGGGGCUCAAGCACGGAACCGAAGCUAUGGCAUGAUAGCAAUAUCAUGGGUAGGGGAGCGUUCUUAUAAGGAAGAAGCAUGACCGGAAGGACAUGUGGACAAAUAAGAAGUGAGAAUGCCGGUAUGAGUAUCGAAAAGAAAGGUGAGAAUCCUUUCCACCGAAAGCCCGAGGGUUCCUGAGCAACGAUCGUCGACUCAGGGUAAGUCGGGACCUAAGCCGAGGCGAGAAGCGUAGGCGAUGGACAACAGGUUGAAAUUCCUGUACCGGAUCAAGUCGAUCGAGCGAAGGAGCGACGCAGGAGGGCACAUGAUCGCGCGGCUGGAAGAGCGCGUCCAAGUGCGUAUGUUGCAGCAGAGGAAAACCCCUGCAGCUAAAAGCAGAGACAUGAUGGGGAGUUAAAGGAAACUUUGACGAACUCAUGAAUCCCACACUGCCAAGAAAAACUUCUAGCGAGACAAGAUCCGCCCGUACCGUAAACCGACACAGGUAGGCGGGGAGAGAAUCCUAAGGUGCGCGGGAAAACCCUCGUUAAGGAACUCGGCAAAUUGCAUCCGUAACCUAGGGAGAAGGAUGGCCCCCGGUCAGUGAAGAGCAGAAACGCUCAGAGCUAAAAGGGGCGGCAGAAAAGAGGCCCAAGCAACUGUUUACCAAAAACACAGGUGCCUGCGAAAGCGAAAGCUGAAGUAUAGGUGCUGACGCCUGCCCGGUGCCGGAAGGUUAAGGAGAGAAGUUAGCGAAAGCGAAGCAUCGAACUGAAGCCCCGGUGAACGGCGGCCGUAACUAUAACGGUCCUAAGGUAGCGAAAUUCCUUGUCGGGUAAG
rnacentral:rRNA from 1 species